rnacentral:ncRNA from 1 species
AUCAGGUUGAUAGGCCAGGUGUGGAAGCGCGGUGACGUGUGGAGCUGACUGGUACUAAUAGGUCGAGGGCUUGACCUA